rnacentral:rRNA from 1 species
UAGGGGAAUCUUCGGCAAUGGGGGCAACCCUGACCGAGCAACGCCGCGUGAGUGAAGAAGGUUUUCGGAUCGUAAAGCUCUGUUGUAAGAGAAGAACGUGUGUGAGAGUGGAAAGUUCACACAGUGACGGUAACUUACCAGAAAGGGACGGCUAACUACGUGCCAA